AAUCUACCGAUAGUUGGGGGAUAGCCUUGGGAAACUGGGAGUAAUCCGCCAUAUCUUUACAUGAUGGCAUCAUUGAGUAAAGAAAGCUGAGGCGACUAUUGAUGAUCGUGCGUCUGAUUAGGUAGUUGGUAGGGUAACGGCCUACCAAGCCGACGAUCAGUAGGGGGCGUGAGAGCGUGGCCCCCCACACGGGUACUGAGACACGGACCCGACUCCUACGGGAGGCAGCAGUAAGGAAUAUUGGUCAAUGGGCGGAAGCCUGAACCAGCCAUCCCGCGUGCAGGAUGACUGCCCUAUGGGUUGUAAACUGCUUUUAUCUGGGAAUAAACCACUCUAUUUAUGGGGUGUUGAAGGUACCAGAAGAAUAAGCACCGGCUAACUCCGUGCCAGCAGCCGCGGUAAUACGGAGGGUGCAAGCGUUAUCCGGAAUCACUGGGUUUAAAGGGUGCGUAGGCGGCUGUAUAAGUCAGAGGUGAAAGGCUACAGCUUAACUGUGGAAUUGCCUUCGAUACUGUAUAGCUUGAAUAAGGAUGAGGUUGGCGGAAUGUGGCAUGUAGCGGUGAAAUGCAUAGAUAUGCCAUAGAACACCAAUUGCGAAGGCAGCUAACUGGACCUUUAUUGACGCUGAGGCACGAAAGCGUGGGGAUCAAACAGGAUUAGAUACCCUGGUAGUCCACGCCCUAAACGAUGCU
rnacentral:rRNA from 1 species